rnacentral:rRNA from 1 species
UACGUAGGGUCCGAGCGUUGUCCGGAAUUAUUGGGCGUAAAGGGCUCGUAGGCGGUUCGUCACGUCGGGAGUGAAAACUCGGAGCUUAACUCCGAGCCUGCUUCCGAUACGGGCAGACUAGAGGUAGGCAGGGGAGAGCGGUACUCCUGGUGUAGCGGUGGAAUGCGCAGAUAUCAGGAAGAACACCGGUGGCGAAGGCGGCUCUCUGGGCCUUACCUGACGCUGAGGAGCGAAAGCGUGGGUAGCGAACAGG